rnacentral:rRNA from 1 species
GACGGGACCCGCACAAGCAGCGGAGCGUGUGGUUUAAUUCGAGGCUACACGAAGAACCUUACCAGGGUUUGACAUGCAAGUGGUAGGAAUCCGAAAGGUGACCGACCCUUCGGGGAGCUUGCACAGGUGCUGCAUGGCUGUCGUCAGCUCGUGUCGUGAGAUGUUCGGUUAAGUUCGCUAACGAGCGCAACCCUCGUCGUGUGUUAUACGUGUCACACGAUACUGCCGGUAUCAAGCCGGAGGAAGGUGGGGAUGAUGUCAAGUCAGCAUGGCCUUUAUAUCCUGGGCUACACACACGCUACAAUGGCAGAUACAAUAGGUUGCGAAACCGCGAGGUGGAGCCAAUCCUCAAAGUCUGUCUCAGUUCAGAUUGUAGGCUGCAACUCGCCUGCAUGAAGUUGGAGUUGCUAGUAAACGCAGGUCAGCUAUACUGCGUUGAAUACGUUCCCGGGGUUU